UACGUAGGGACCAAGCGUUGUUCGGAUUUACUGGGCGUAAAGGGCGCGUAGGCGGCGUGACAAGUCACUUGUGAAAUCUCCGGGCUUAACUCGGAACGGUCAAGUGAUACUGUUGUGCUAGAGUACAGAAGGGGCAAUCGGAAUUCUUGGUGUAGCGGUGAAAUGCGUAGAUAUCAAGAGGAACACCAGAGGCGAAGGCGGAUUGCUGGGCUGAUACUGACGCUGAGGCGCGAAAGUGUGGGGAGCGAACAGG
rnacentral:rRNA from 1 species